UCGAGGAUUAAAAUGAAGUUUAACUUUUUUGUAAAAUAAGAAAUUUACUAAGCAAUCUGUCGCUAGUUUCUUCCUCGGAGUUCUAUAAAUCAGAAGAGGACGCGGUUCAUACAUUAAGUUUCCGUGUUUGUGCGAAUCCAACGACAUUCCCAGAAUGGAACCGUUAUUCAGCAAUGGAUUGUAUUUGGCAAACUUGACAAUGUCAUCCAGUAUUCUUACAGAUUCAUGGAACGCAAUAUCUGAACAUCAAGGGAAUAAGCCCGUAAAAAUCAUCGAGGACCAUCCGGACUACGAUAUCAUUGCCAUUGUCAGCUCACCGGUCACUGCAAGUUGUCUUCAAAAAGAAAGGCUUUUGGUUCCUA